UACGAAGGGGGCUAGCGUUGCUCGGAAUCACUGGGCGUAAAGCGCACGUAGGCGGAUCUUUAAGUCAGGGGUGAAAUCCUGGAGCUCAACUCCAGAACUGCCUUUGAUACUGGGGAUCUCGAGUCCGGGAGAGGUGAGUGGAACUGCGAGUGUAGAGGUGAAAUUCGUAGAUAUUCACAAGAACACCAGUGGCGAAGGCGGCUCACUGGCCCGGUACUGACGCUGAGGUGCGAAAGCGUGGGGAGCAAACAGG
rnacentral:rRNA from 1 species